UCUGACGUGUGCUCUUCCGACACUUGUGCUCCGGUGUCCCUCCACAUGGUGACCUUUUCCCGCCCACACUCAUAGUUUCCCUCCGCUCCCAGGGUAUCUGGGAGGUAUCUUGGCCUGAGGACCUCUGAUGUGAUUCUGGUGCAAUGAACUGUAAUCUGUUGGAGUUCUUGGGGCAGUUGGCCUUUACAUUACAUUUAAAACAUC